rnacentral:rRNA from 1 species
UUGAUGCGUCGCAACGGUAACAGGAAGCAGCUUGCUGCUUUGCUGACGAGUGGCGGACGGGUGAGUAAUGUCUGGGAAACUGCCUGAUGGAGGGGGAUAACUACUGGAAACGGUAGCUAAUACCGCAUAACGUCGCAAGACCAAAGAGGGGGACCUUCGGGCCUCUUGCCAUCGGAUGUGCCCAGAUGGGAUUAGCUAGUAGGUGGGGUAACGGCUCACCUAGGCGACGAUCCCUAGCUGGUCUGAGAGGAUGACCAGCCACACUGGAACUGAGACACGGUCCAGACUCCUACGGGAGGCAGCAGUGGGGAAUAUUGCACAAUGGGCGCAAGCCUGAUGCAGCCAUGCCGCGUGUAUGAAGAAGGCCUUCGGGUUGUAAAGUACUUUCAGCGGGGAGGAAGGGAGUAAAGUUAAUACCUUUGCUCAUUGACGUUACCCGCAAAAAAACCACCGGCUAACUCCGUGCCAGCAGCCGCGGUAAUACGGAGGGUGCAAGCGUUAAUCGGAAUUACUGGGCGUAAAGCGCACGCAGGCGGUUUGUUAAGUCAGAUGUGAAAUCCCCGGGCUCAACCUGGGAACUGCAUCUGAUACUGGCAAGCUUGAGUCUCGUAGAGGGGGGUAGAAUUCCGGGUGUAGCGGUGAAAUGCGUAGAGAUCUGGAGGAAUACCGGUGGCGAAGGCGGCCCCCUGGACAAAGACUGACGCUCAGGUGCAAGAGCGUGCGGAGCACAGGGAUUACAUACCCUGCUAGUCCACGCCGUAGACGAUGUCGACUUGGAGGUUGUGCCCGUGAAGAGUGCCUUCCUAUAGCUAACGCGUUAGUUGCAACGACCUGGGGGGGUAUGCCCGGAUGAUAACGAGUCAUAUCAAUUAUAGAAGGA